rnacentral:tRNA from 1 species
CCAGCACUUCGACGAUGCGGCCGACCGGCUGCUUGAAGCGGCCCGGCUGCUCCGUCAGUUCGACGCUGACGAUCUGGCC